CCUACGGGGGGCAGCAGUGGGGAAUAUUGCGCAAUGGGCGAAAGCCUGACGCAGCGACGCCGCGUGAGGGAUGAAGGUCUUCGGAUCGUAAACCUCUGUCAGCAGGGAAGAACGGUCACUGUGCUAAUCAGCAGUGAAUUGACGGUACCUGCAAAGGAAGCACCGGCUAACUCCGUGCCAGCAGCCGCGGUAAUACGGAGGGUGCGAGCGUUAAUCGGAAUUACUGGGCGUAAAGCGCUCGUAGGCGGUAUGUCAAGUCAAGGGUGAAAUCCCCGCGCUCAACGUGGGAACUGCCUUUGAAACGGGCAAACUGGAGUGUGUGAGAGGAUAGUGGAAUGCCAGGUGUAGGAGUGAAAGCCGUAGAUAUCUGGAGGAACAUCAGUGGCGAAGGCGACUAUCUGGCACAUAACUGACGCUGAGGAGCGAAAGCGUGGGUAGCAAACAGGAUUAGAUACCCGAGUAGUC
rnacentral:rRNA from 1 species